GUGGAUAUGGCUCAGUGGUAGAGUGCGUGCUUAGCCUGCAUGAGGUCCUGGGUUCAAUCCCCAGGACCACU
rnacentral:tRNA from 1 species